rnacentral:rRNA from 1 species
GUGGGGAAUAUUGGACAAUGGGCGAAAGCCUGAUCCAGCCAUGCCGCGUGUGUGAAGAAGGUCUUCGGAUUGUAAAGCACUUUAAGUUGGGAGGAAGGGUAGUAACUUAAUACGUUGCUACUUUGACGUUACCGACAGAAUAAGCACCGGCUAACUUCGUGCCAGCAGCCGCGGUAAUACGAAGGGUGCAAGCGUUAAUCGGAAUUACUGGGCGUAAAGCGCGCGUAGGUGGUUCAGUAAGUUGGAAGUGAAAUCCCCGGGCUCAACCUGGGAACUGCUUUCAAAACUGCUGAGCUAGAGUACGGUAGAGGGUGGUGGAAUUUCCUGUGUAGCGGUGAAAUGCGUAGAUAUAGGAAAGAACACCAGUGGCGAAGGCGACCACCUGGACUGAUACUGACACUGAGGUGCGAAAGCGUGGGGAGCAAACAGGAUUAGAUACCCUUGUAGUCC